CACCAGGCGCGAAAACUUUACAAUGCCGGCAACGGCGAUAAGGGAACCUCGAGUGCCAGGUUACAAAUCUGGCUGUCGUGAUGCCUAAAAAGCAUUGCAUAGCAAGGGCCGGGCAAGACCGGUGCCAGCCGCCGCGGUAACACCGGCGGCUCGAGUGGUAACCGUUAUUAUUGGGUCUAAAGGGUCUGUAGCCGGCCGGAUAAGUCUCUUGGGAAAUCUGGCAGCUUAACUGUCAGGCUUUCAGGAGAUACUGUCUGGCUCGAGGCCGGGAGAGGUGAGAGGUACUUCAGGGGUAGGGGUGAAAUCUUGUAAUCCUUGAAGGACCACCAGUGGCGAAGGCGUCUCACCAGAACGGACCUGACGGCAAGGGACGAAAGCUAGGGGCACGAACCGGAUUAGAUACCCGGGUAGUCCUAGCCGUAGACGAUACUCGCUAGGUGUCGGCCACGGUGCGACCGUGGUCGGUGCCGUAGGGAAGCCGUGAAGCGGGCCACCUGGGAAGUACGGCCGCAAGGCUGAAACUUAAAGGAAUUGGCGGGGGAGCAC
rnacentral:rRNA from 1 species